GAUGAACGCUGGCGGCGUGCCUAAUACAUGCAAGUCGAGCGAACGGACGAGGCGCUUGCGUCUCUGUUGUUAGCGGCGGGCGGGUGAGAAACACGUGUAUAAUCUACCUAUAUGACGGGGAUCAUCAGGAGAAACCGGAUCUAAUAGCGGAUAAUCUUCUGAUCCACGGUGGUCAAUAGUGAAAUACGGCGGUGCUGUAUCGAAUCGAUGGAUCCCCGCUGGAUGAGCUAGUUGGUAGGGUAAAGGGCUAUCAAGGGAAGGAUGCGUAACCGACCUGUGAGGGUGAUAGGCCGCCCUAGAGCUGAAACAGCGUCCAGACUCCUACGAGACGCAGCAGUAGGGAAUCUUCCGCAAUAGGCGAGAGCAUGGCAGAGCGACGCCACGUGAGUGGCGAAGGUCUUCGGGUCGUAAUACUCUGUUUUGGGGUAAGAACAUAUGUGUAAGGUAAUGUACACUUCUUGACGGUACCUAGUAAGAAAGCCACGGCUAACUACGUG
rnacentral:rRNA from 1 species